rnacentral:rRNA from 1 species
UACAGAGGUCUCAAGCGUUGUUCGGAUUCAUUGGGCGUAAAGGGUGCGUAGGCGGCGCGGUAAGUCGGGUGUGAAAUCUCGGAGCUUAACUCCGAAACUGCAUUCGAUACUGCCGUGCUUGAGGACUGGAGAGGAGACUGGAAUUUACGGUGUAGCGGUGAAAUGCGUAGAUAUCGUAAGGAACACCAGUGGCGAAAGCGGCUUCCUGGUCCAGCACCGACGUUCAGGCACGAAAGCGUGGG